GGCUGGCCUCCAGAGCGGGUUGUGAGGAAAUCUGAAGUCUGGUUUAAAAUCACAUCAGAUCAAAGGAGACGUCCUGAAAAUCCUGGCUACAGACAAGAAGGAUAAGGAAAGAAAAGCUACAAAACAGGUGACGCCCACAGAGAGCUGAUCACACACUCGCUAACUUCUCUGAAAAAAAAAAAUGUCCACCGCAGCAACAGCAUCACCAAAGCUACUCUCACUGAGAGCAUUCCAGAAAUUAAUCCCAGAAGAUGUCCGAGCUCACAAUAUUGCUCAACUGGUUCUGCAGACAGGUGUAACCCUGAACAAUACACACCAAUACCAGAAUAGUAUUUGACUGUUUUGCCAGUAAAAUAAACCAUGUAUGGAACUAC